rnacentral:rRNA from 1 species
UACAGAGGUCUCAAGCGUUGUUCGGAUUCAUUGGGCGUAAAGGGUGCGUAGGCGGCGCGGUAAGUCGGGUGUGAAAUCUCGGAGCUUAACUUCGAAACUGCAUUCGAUACUGCCGUGCUUGAGGACUGGAGAGGAGACUGGAAUUUACGGUGUAGCGGUGAAAUGCGUAGAUAUCGUAAGGAAGACCAGUGGCGAAGGCGGGUCUCUGGACAGUUCCUGACGCUGAGGAGCGAAAGCGUGGGGAGCGAACAGG